AACGCUAGCUACAGGCUUAACACAUGCAAGUCGAGGGGAAACGAUAUUGGAAGCUUGCUUCCGAUAGGCGUCGACCGGCGCACGGGUGAGUAACGCGUAUCCAACCUGCCCAUCACUUGGGGAUAACCUUGCGAAAGUAAGACUAAUACCCAAUGACGUCUCUAGAAGACAUCUGAAGGAGAUUAAAGAUUUAUCGGUGAUGGAUGGGGAUGCGUCUGAUUAGCUUGUUGGCGGGGUAACGGCCCACCAAGGCGACGAUCAGUAGGGGUUCUGAGAGGAAGGUCCCCCACAUUGGAACUGAGACACGGUCCAAACUCCUACGGGAGGCAGCAGUGAGGAAUAUUGGUCAAUGGGCGAGAGCCUGAACCAGCCAAGUAGCGUGCAGGAAGACGGCCCUAUGGGUUGUAAACUGCUUUUAUAAGGGAAUAAAGUGAGUCUCGUGAGACUUUUUGCAUGUACCUUAUGAAUAAGGACCGGCUAAUUCCGUGCCAGCAGCCGCGGUAAUACGGAAGGUCCGGGCGUUAUCCGGAUUUAUUGGGUUUAAAGGGAGCGUAGGCCGGAGAUUAAGCGUGUUGUGAAAUGUAGACGCUCAACGUCUGCACUGCAGCGCGAACUGGUUUCCUUGAGUACGCACAAAGUGGGCGGAAUUCGUGGUGUAGCGGUGAAAUGCUUAGAUAUCACGAAGAACUCCGAUUG
rnacentral:rRNA from 1 species